GCCUACGGCCAUACCACCCUGAAAGCGCCCGAUCUCGUCUGAUCUCGGAAGCUAAGCGGGCACGGGCCUGGUUAGUACCUGGAUGGGAGACCGCCUGGGAAUACCAGGUGUUGUAGGCU
ensembl:rRNA 5S_rRNA 5S ribosomal RNA